rnacentral:rRNA from 1 species
GCAGGGAAUCUUCCACAAUGGGCGAAAGCCUGAUGGAGCGACGCCGCGUGAGGGAUGAAGGCUCUAGGGUCGUAAACCUCUUUUCUCAGGGAAGAGCAAGGACGGUACCUGAGGAAUAAGUGACGGCUAACUACGUGCCAGCAGCCGCGGUAAUACGUAGGUCACAAACGUUGUCCGGAUUUAUUGGGCGUAAAGGGUCCGUAGGCGGUUCGGUAAGUCUCCUGUGAAAUCUUCAGGCUCAACUUGAAGAGGUCGGGGGAUACUGCCGGACUUGAGACUGUUAGAGGCAAGUGGAAUUCCCGGUGUAGUGGUGAAAUGCGUAGAUAUCGGGAGGAACACCAGUGGCGAAAGCGGCUUGCUGGGACAGUUCUGACGCUGAGGGACGAAAGCGUGGGUAGCAAACCGG